CCCCAUCACUGCUGCCCUGCCUGCCCGCCCAUCAGACACCCUGACUGACCUGAAGAUGAGGAAGCUGGAGAUGCCAAACAUGACAAAGGGCCCCCGCUCCAGCCAGUCUGGCUGAGAACCCGGGAUUGAGCAACGGAGGAGGCGGCGGCAGCGGGUGCUGGAGGAAUGUCACGCUUGGGCGCUGGCCCCGACACACAGCUCUUCUGCAUGAGGCCCAGCGCCCCGGCUGGACCUGGGGAGUGGGAGGCUGGGGACAGCAAGGAAGGGCCACACUCCGGGAAGGGGUCUCUGCUCCUAGAAGGCACCUAGCCCCGAAGGCACCCAGCCAUGUGGGCAGCAGGGCUGGCCGGGCCACCCGCAGGGGCAGUGAGGAAGCCCACAGGUGGGAGAAGAGACCCAGCAUAGCCACCUUGGGCACAGGGAGUCCACAGCAAAGUUGGGAGCUUUUCCUCUGCAUGGGGGAGAGGGAAAUCACAGCAACGUGGGCUGUGUGUGAGCAAAAGCCUGUUUCAGGGUUUGAAAUGGUUCCCUCUGAAUGCUGCAAUACUUCAAAUAAACACUCUUGGCUUCUC